rnacentral:rRNA from 1 species
GACAGGGGGGACAAGUGUUACUCAACUUGACUGGGCGUAAAGGGCAUCUAGGCGGUCAAAAGUGAUUUUUGUCAAACUUCCUAAUAGGUUUAAGAAGAGCAAUUUUUAACUUUUUGACUACGAGUUUAUUAGACGAUAAUUGUACUCUUAAUGGAAGGAUAAAAUCUCUAGAUAUUAAAGGGGACAACCAGAAGCGAAAGCGAUUAUCGUGUGUAUAACUGACGCUGAUAUGCGAAAGUGUGGGGAUCGAAUAGG